rnacentral:lncRNA from 1 species
AGUCUGGGUGGACAGCUUCGCCGGAGCUGAGAGCCCGCGACCUGCCGGACCAGGGCUGGGCCGCGGGUCAAUGAUCCAGGAAAUCCCGUCACUCGCGUGCCUGUGGCUGAAGCGCGGCAGCUUGUCUUGUCCGUUUCGUGUCAGUUUCAGGGCUGAGUGGCAGCGUCUGGACUUUGCGGACGCCGAGGGCUCAGAUGCUGGGCUCUGGGGAGGGAGAGGGCGCCGGCCGGCCUGUCCCUCUCCGGGGAUUUGCAGGUACCACCUGUCGGCUUUGUUUCAUCAUCAGGAGCCCCUUUGCCCAGAAAUCCCGAUCGUCUACACCCAGGUCUCUACUGAUCAGAGAUUGAGAGUGAGUCAACAGGAGUCCAACACGUGACCCCCAUAAGUCUACCCUCUUUUCCCCCAAUACUUGUAGAUACCACCCAGUAACACCCGUGUGUGCUAAAAAUCCUAUUCUGGGAGUUCUUCGGCAGUUUAAAUCGCCCAUGAAUUACUCAUAUUUUCUCAAUCCACCGUGAGCCUGGCACAUUUCUUUUCAGUAAUUGAUUGGGAAAGUGCAAGCCAUUGGUGACCUUUAGAAGUUUUAAAUGUUUAUAACGAAAGGGCUAAGGACAGAGGAGAUUACCCACACUUAAGUAUUUUGCACCUUAAAAAUGCUAGCAAAAAUAUGAAUUUAUAUUCCUUCAGGGAGAAGAUUUCGUCUGAGGACGUAGGCCGAACCUUGUGUUUUAUAUGUCAUAUGAAUUACGCUCUGAAACUAAAAUAUGAAAUAGAUUCCAUAAUUAAGCCCUUUGGAAUAUCAGCCUCAUCUGAAUUAUUUCUAAGGAUAUUUUUGCCUUUUUUGGUUUAUUAAAAACUUCCUUUUGGGGAAACUUGUAUAGAUUUUCUGCACUUAGGCAAAAUAAAGCAUUUUAUUCAAAAUAUUUCUUAGGGUUUUCCUAGAACUUACUCUUCUUUCUUCCUGUAAAGACAAACCUAGGAAAUUGUUCAGAAAAAGGCCCAAGGUGAUUUCCUCAUAACCUAUAGUGAUUAGUGAGAAAAAGUUUGGAUAUUGGGGAUUUCGGGGUUGAUUUGAUAAUUUCAGGAAAAUGAAGAAAACCUCAAAUUUAAGAUAUUAAAAUGUUUAAAAAUUGUCCUAGAGAAAACGAUGGUACUAAAAGCUUAAAAAUUUCUAAAGAUUAAGAGAGCUGACAGUGAUUUAAAAAAUACAUUUAAUCUAGGAAAAGCAGUAGAUUAAGAAAGAUAUUAGGAAUGUUGUCAAAUGCUGUCUUUUAAAGGUGGAUAAUUGCUUUAGUGACACUUAUACUUUUGGGAUUUUUGUCUUAUGAUUAAGGUGGCAAUUACAUAAUAGUCAUCAUUCUAGAUUGUAUAAAUUAUACUUUUUACAUUAUUUCAUUAUAUUAUAUUACUGGUAUCUUUUUCUUUAGAAUUGAUAGAAUGCAUCAGCUUUUAAUCUCCCUUUGUAAUAGUUAUUUAACCUAAGGGAGAUCAGAAUAUGCCAUGCCAAAAUGUGACACUUUGUCAUCAGGAUUAUUUUGAGCUGAAGGUAAUUGAGAAUGAACAUAUAGAAAGAAACUUUCUCAGAGCUUCCCUUAUCUGACUAAAAGCAGUGACUUCUGAGAAAGGAGGCUGCUAUAAAUUCCCCUUUUGGGUUAGGUCUACUCAUAAAUGCAUUCAUCAGGGAAGUUUUAUGGCCCUGAAGGAGACCACCCAUACCUGUCUAGACAGUCUCACAAACUUUCUUAUCUCCUGUUUCUUCUCCUGAAAACUCCUAUUUGUCUUUCCUCAGGAAACCCAUUUUUUCCCCCAUAAUAGCCUUUCUCUCCCCUCUUUUUCCUCAACUAAGUUAGGUAUAUAAGCCCCAAAUGCGAACCACCCCUUUGAGUUGCUCAUCACUGAGCACUCCUGUGUGUAUGUGUAUUACACACAUAAACUGCUUUUUUCCUUUUGUCAAAGGUACCUGUCUUUUGCAGCUUAAUUUGCAAGCCCCUAGUUAUUGAACAUGAGAGUGUAGAGGAAAAGCAUUUUCCCUUCCCUACAGGCCUAAAGGAAACUACAUGAAAUAUUAAAACAAGUACUGAUUAAAGGCCGGGCGCGGUGCCUCAAGCCUGUAAUCCCAGCACUUUGGGAGGCCGAGGCGGGCGGAUCACGAGGUCAGGAGAUCGAGACCAUCCUGGCUAACACGGUGAAACCCCAUCUCUACUAAAAAUACAAAAAAAUUAGCCAGGCGUGGUGGCGGACGCCUGUAGUCCCAGCUACUUGGGAGGCUGAGGCAGGAGAAUGGUGUGAACCCGGGAGGGGGAGCUUGCAGUGAGCCGAGAUGGCGCCACUGAACUCCAGCCUGGGCGACAGAGCGAGACUUUGUCUCAAAGAAAAAAAAAAAAAAAAAAAGAACAAGUACUGAUUAAAAAGGUUAAGGGGUUAUGUGAGGGGAGGGGAGUUUUGUGGCCCAGGCUGGUCUCGAACUCCUGAGUUCAAGGGAUCUGUCCGCCUCCGCCUCCCAAAAGUGCCGGGAUUACAGGCAUGGGCUACCGUGCCCUGCCUCUUUACUGUUUUAUUGGGAUGUACCUCCAUGGAUCUUCACUAGUAUUAUAUCAUUUCAUCCUCAAAACAGCUCUAUCAGGUAGUUAAAUCAGAUAACGUAAAUAUCUUCCCAGUUUAUGCCUAUUAUGGGCAUGGUGGCUCACACCUAUCAUUCCAGCACUUUGGGAGACCAAGGUGGGAGAAUCACUUGCGGCUAGGAGUUGGAGACCAGCCUGGGCAACAUAGGGAGAUACCCCCAUCUCUAAAAAAAUAAUAAACAAUAUUAGCUGAACGUGUUGGUGCAUGUCUGUGUGUGCCUAUGGCUUCAGCUACUUGGGAGGCUGAGGUGGGAGGAUGCCUGAGCCGGGAGGUCGAGGCUGUGUCAGUCAUGAUUGCACCACUGCAUGCCAGCCUGGGUGACAGAGCAAGAACGCUGUCUCAAAAAUAAAAAAUAAAAAAGCAAAAGAAAUAUCUUCCUCUAGGACCACAGCUGUAAAGAGCAGAGCAGUUUCCCUCUCAGCUUAAAAGGCUAAACGCUGAUGUGCUUGCACGCUAGUGCUUGGCCCAUGCAUCUUUCUCUACCUCAGAGAUAUUAUUGUAGGGGUCAAAGGUACCUAAUCUAAUGCCUGGGAUAUAGUACCUAUGCUCACUAAGGUUCAUUUGAAUUUAUUUAUUUUAAUUAAUUAAUUAAUUAAUUAACUUUUUGAGAUGGAGUCUCGCUCUGUCGCCUAGCUUGGAGUGCAGUGGCGUAAUCUCAGCCCACUGCAACCUCUGCCUCCCAGGUUCAAGCAAUUCUCCUACCUCAGCCUCCCAAGUAGCUGGGAUUGCAGGCAUGUGCCAACAUGGCUGGCUAAUUUUUUUUUUUUUCCUGAGACAGUGUCUUGCUCUGUCGCCCAGGUUGGAGUACAGUGGCACAAUCUUGGCUCACUGCAAGUUCCGACUCCCGGGUUCACACCAUUCUUUUGCCUCAGCCUCCUGAGUAGCUGGGACUACAGGCACCCGCCACAAUGCCCGGCUAAUAUUUUGUAUUUUUAGUAGAGACAAGGUUUCACCCUGUUAGCCAGGAUGGUCUUGAUCUUCUGACCUCGUGAUCCACCUGUCUCAGCCUCCCAAAGUGCUGGGAUUACAGGCGUGAGCCACUGUGCCCACCUGACUAAUUUUUGUAUUUUUAGUAGAAACGGGGUUUCACUCUGUUAACCAGGAUGGUCUUGAUCUCCUGACCUCGUGAUCCACCUGCCUUGGCCUCCCAAAGUGCUGGGAUUACAGGCAUGAGCCACUGGGCUCACCUGGCUAAUUUUUGUAUUUUUAGUAGAAACGGGGUUUCACCAUGUUGGCCAGGCUGGUCUCGAACCCCUGACCUCAGGUGAUCCACCCAGCUCAGCCUCUGAAAGUGCUGGGAUCACAGGCAUGAGCCACCGUGCCCAGCACAUUUGAACUUAUUAAGUAAUGACCAUUGAAUUUUAUUUUUCUGAGUUUUAGUUGUUUUGUUUGUUUGUUUGUUUGUUUGAGAAGGAGUCUGGCUGUGUUGCCCAGGCUGCAGUGCACUGGCGGGAUCUUGGCUCACUGCAACUUCUGCCUCCCAGGUUCAAGUGAUUGUCCUGCCUCAGACUCUCGAGUAGCUGGGAUUACAGGUGCCCGCCACUACGGCCAGCUAAUUUUUUCGUAUUUUUAGUAGAGAUGAUGUUUCACCAUGUUGGCCAGGCUGGUCUCGAACUCCUGACUUCGUGAUUCGCCCACCUCGUCCUUCCAAAGUGCUGGGAUUACAGUCGUGAGCUGCAGCGCCUGGCCUGAGUUUUAGUUUUAAAACUGACCAACACUACAUUUGUGUCCUCUUUUCAACUCCUGUUAUCCAAAGCAUUUAUGCUAUAAGUAAUACCUUCUUUUUCUUUUGGCUAUUUAGUUGAAUAUAACCAGCUUUGUUCACACAGGUAGAGAAAGACCUACAGUCAGCCCUCUGUUUCCGUAUUCGUGGGUUCUGCAUUCAUGGAUUCUUUUUUAUUAUUAUUUUGAGACAGAGUCUUGCUCUGUCCCCCCAGGCUGGAGUGCAGUGGUGUGAUCAUGGCUUACUGCAGCCUUGACCUCCUGGGCUGCAGCAAUCCUCCCACCUCAGCCUCCUGAGAAGCUGGGACUACAGGCACAUGCCACCAUGCCCAGCUUGCUUAUUUAUUUAUUUAUUUAGAGACGGAGUCUUGCUCUGUUGCCCAGGCUGGAGUGCAGUGGCACCAUCUCGGCUCACUGCAAGCUCCGCCUCCCAGGUUCAUGCCAUUCUCCUGCCUCAGCCUCCCAAGUAGUUGGGACUACAGGUGCACGCCACCGCGCCUGGCUAAGUUUUUGUAUUUUUAGUAGAGACGGGGUUUCACCGUGUUAGCCAGGAUGGUCUUGAUCUCCUGACCUCGUGAUCCGCCCGCCUCGGCCUCCCAAAGUGCUGGGAUUACAGGUGUGAGCCACUGUGCCCAGCCUAAUUUUUUUUUUUUUUAAAGAGACAUGAGUUUCCCUGUGUUGCCCAGGCUGGUCUCAAAUUCCUGGGCUCAAGGGAUCCUCCUGCCUCAGCCUCCCAAAGUGCUGAGAUUACAGGCAUGAGCCGCUGUUCUGGGCCAUUCGUGGGUUGUCCAUCCGUGGAUUCAACCAAAUGCCCAUCAAAAAUAUUUGGAAAAAAUAUUUUCCAAAUGUUUACAAUAUUUACAUUGUAUUAGGUAUUAUAAGUAAUCUAGAGAUGAUUUAAUGUAUACAGGAAGAUGUGCAUAGGUUAUAUGCAAAUAUUACACCAAUUUAUAUAAAGGACUUGAACAUCCAUGGGUUUUGGUGUCUGAGAGGGUCCUGGAACCAAUCCCUUGAAGAUACAGAGGAAUAACUGUAUUGUAUUGGCCAGGUGGGUCACAUGUAGGAAUGAGACAACUCAGGUGUGUACACAUAGUGGCGCUGGGAAGAAGGCAGCCUGUUUCGGCCCUGCUGUGGCUGUUCUGCCUCUGGCGCCAUCUUUCACACCAAUGCAUGGUGGCUGCAAUUUAAAUCCGAUGUGGAAAAUUCAAGUAGGUAAUAAGAGCCAAGUGGUGCCGAAGGUUGGCCCUUGUAGGCCUGGAGGGCCUCAGGCUCAGUGUUGGCUCAGUGUUUAUUGUCUGCCCUUCUGUUGCUGGGCAUCCCAGGGCCCACAUGCCAGGGUACACAGGCAUUCUGAAAAAGGUGCAAUUGCUGUUUCUGAUUAGAAGAGCAAUAUAUGAUUAUCGAUAAAAUUUGAACAUGCAGAAAAAUAGCAAGAGGAAAAUAAAAAUUACUUGAUACGCUCAUUACUCAGAGUAGUUAUUUUCUUCCAGUUCAUUGUCUUUGCAUUUUUCUUUAGUUGCAGUCACACUUAAUAAAAUUUUCUUACUUUGUUACAUUUGCUUGAAAUAUAUAUAAGUUAGCUGGGUGUGGUGGCUCACGCCUGUAAUCCCAGCACUUUGGGAGGCUGAGGCGGGUGGAUCACCUGAGGUCAGGAGUUUGAGACCAGCCUGGUCAACAUGGUGAAACCCCAUCUCUACUAAAAAUACAAAAAUCAGCACGCCUGUAAUCCCAGCUACUCGGGAGGCUGAGGCAGGAGAAUCGCUUGAACCCAGGAGGUGGAGGUUGCAGUGAGAUGAGAUCAUGCCAUUGCACUCCAGCCUGGGCAACAAGAGCGAAACUCCAUCUCAAAAACAAAAAACAAAAACAAAAACAAACGUUAAAGGCCAGGCACAGUGGCUCACGCCUGUAAUCCAGCACUUUGGGAGGCCGAGCUGAGUGGAUCACUUGAGGUCAGGAGUUCCAGACCAGCCUGGCCAACAUGGUGAAACCCUGUCUCUAUUAAAAAUACAAAAAUUAGCUGGGCGUGGUGGCGGGCACCUGUAGUCCCAGCUAUUUGGGAGGCUGAGGCAGGAGAAUUGCUUGAACCCAGGAGGCAGAGGUUACAGUAAGCCGAGAUUGUGCCAUUGCACUCCAACCUGGGUGUCAGAGCAAGACUCCAUCUCAAAAAAAAUAAAUACAUAAAGUUAAAGUGGGCACGCGUGGUGGCUCAUGCCUAUAAUGGUGGCUCACACCUGUAAUCCCAGCACUCUGAGAGGCUGUGGUGGGAGGGUUGCUUGAGUUUAGGAGGUCAAGGCCAGCCUGUGUGAGACCCUAUCUAAGUUAAAGCACUUCCCCGUACGUUUAAAAUCUCUUCAUGGGCAUCGUUUUCCUUGCUGUGGCCUGCCUGCCUUUUACUCAGUCAUACCCCCACUGGUGAACACGCCAGUGACUUCCAGUUUUCACUGUUUUACAUAAUGCCAACAUGUACAUCUGAGUUCAUGACUCUCAACUGGGUUAUUUCCUUAGUAUUUUUGGAAGUGAAAUCACCAGGUCUCAGCAUACUCUUCAGGUUAUCGUAACAUCUUGCCAAGGACUUCUCAGAAAGACUAUGAGCAUGAAUAGAGGGUUCUUGACUAGUGCCUCACCUUAGUGAGGUUUUUGGGAAUGACCAUUUUUCUUUUUUUUUUUGAGACAGUUUCGCUUUUGUUGCACAGGCUGGAGUGCAGUGGCAUGACCUUGGUUCACUGCAACCUCUGCCUCUAGGGUUCAAGUGAUUCUCCUGCCUCAGCCUCCUGAGUAGCUGGGACUACAGGCAUCUGCCACCAUGCCCAGCUACGUUUUUGUAUUUUUAGUAGAGAUUGGGUUUCACUAUGUUGGCCAGGCUGGUCUCGAACUCCCAACCUCAGGUGAUCCACCUGCCUCGGCCUCCCAAAGUGCUGGGAUUACAGGCGUGAGCCACUGUGCCCAGUCAUGACGAUUUUUCUUUUUCUUAAUCUUUGAACAUUUGAAUGGUGGCAGUGGUUUCUUGUGGCUUUAAUUUGCAUUUUUAAUUUAAUUUAAUUUAAUUUUUUGAGGCAGGGUCUCGCCCUGUCACCCAGGCUGGAGUGCAGUGGCAUGAUCACAGCUCAAUGCAGCCUCAACCUCCCGGGUUCAAGCGAUCCUUCCACCACAGUCUCCGGAGUAGCUGGGACUACAGGUGUAUGCCAGCAUGCCCAGCUCAUUUAAUUUGCAUUUGUUUGAUUUGCAGUCAGCAUGAACUUUUUCCAUGUUUACUAAACAUUUCCCCUUGAAUGCUUUCCUUAUUAUUUGCAUAUGCUCUAAUAUAUAUAUAUAUAUUUUCUUGAGAUGGAGUCUCACUCUGUCACCCAGGCUGGAGUGCGGUGGCACGAUCUCAGCUCGCUGCAACCUCCACCUCCCAGGUUCAAGCGAUUCUCAUGCCUCAGCCUCCAGAGUGGGAUUACAAGCUCGCACCACCACACCCAGCUAUUUUUUGGUAUUUUUAGUAGGGGUUUCAUCGUGUUUGUGAGGCUGGUCUCGAACUCCUGACCUCAAAUGAUCCGCCUGCCUCAGCCUCCCAAAGUGCUGAGAUUACAAGCAUGAGCCACCCGCCCCCCGCCUCUCUAAUAUAAAUUUUUGAAUAAUUAGCUGAAUCUGUAGCAUACGCUGAAAACCUUUCCCUUGUUUGUUGCUUGCCUUUAAUUGUAUGAUGUUUUAAUACAUAAACAUUUUAGUUUUUAGCAGUCACGUCAUUUACUCUAUGGUUUCUUCCAUUGUUUUUAAGUGUAGAACGUUCUUCCCAUUGAUAAUUCAGUUAAAUAUUCCCUUACCUUUUUUUUCUAGAUUUUGCUCUUAUUUUCACUUAACUGUUUAAUAAUUUAAUUUUAUUUCGAUGUGAGUGAUAAGAAACCAGCUUCUUAUCUUUCUUGCCUAGCCCUUUCCUCUUAUCUUAAUUGAGAUUUCUAAUUUCUACGGUAUUUCUUAGCUUCAAAACAUCUCCAAGUAGUGUUAAAUAUAGUUAAAUUUUACUACACUGUACGUUAUUUUCUGAGAACAAAUUAUAGUCUUUCAAGAACUAACGGGCUAAAUGACUUCAGUCAGUUCUUUUCACCUCUCUGGGCCUCAGAAUCUGUAAAAUGAGACUUGGAACAGAUCCGCUUUUCUACCAAGUAUUCCAAGGAGCACAAGUUUUUUAGGGUUGAAUGAGAAAAGAAUUUUGUGGUCAACUCUGUUUGGGAAAUUCUCAGUUAUAUUAAGUGUAAGAGGAAUUUUCUUUUCAUUUUAUUUUACAUUCAGUAUUAUCAUUUAUUCAAAAGCAAGUAUUGAAUGCCUCCUAGGCCAGGCAUUGCUAGAGGUAGAGCCCUGAGCGACAACAUAGUCCUUGUCCAUUGAGCAGGCCAUGGAUUUCAAGGAUAUUAUGAAAGAGGAAAUCUGGGACCGGGUGUGGUGGCUCACACCUGUAAUCCUAGCACUUUGGGAGGCCAAUGUGGGUGGAUCACCUGAGGUCAUGAGUUCAAGACCAGCCUGGCCAACAUGGUGAAACCUGGACUAAAAAUACAAAAAUUUUCUGGGCGUGGUGGCGGAUGCCUAUAAUCCCAGCUACUGGGGAGGCUGAGGCAGGAGAAUCACUUGAACCCAGGGGGCUGAGGUUGCAGUGAGCUGAGAUUGCACCAUUGCACUCCAGCCUGGGCAAAAAGAGCGAAACUCCAUCUCAAAAAAAAAAAAAGGAAAAUGGGAGUGCAUGGCAGGGGGCAUCCUCAAAGAAGUGCUGAGCCCCACAGGAUGAGGAGGAGUUGCCCAGGUUAUGAUCGAGAGUGGCAGAGAAAAAGAGCAAAUGCCCCUAUUGAGAGAGCGUGGAACAUUGGAGACACUGGGGAAGUCCAGCCUGAAGCCAGAUGGAUAGGGAGCUCAGAGGCCUUUUUAGGGAUUUUGAACUUUAUUCUCAGGGAGACAUGAAACUAUUGAAGAUUUUCAUCAGGGGAGUGAUAUAUCUGUUUUUCUGGGAGCUUCUGGCUGCUUUGUAGAGAAGAGGGAGAGGGAGGCAGAACCAUUAGGAGGCCCAAGGUGUUUUAGGGGAGAGACGUCAUGCUGGCAGUUCUGAGUAAUGGAGUGAAAAUGGGGCAAAAGUGGACAGAUUUCAGAACAGUUUUGGAGAUGUAAUUGCAAGAAGUAAGAGAAAGCUAAAAAUCAGAAACGACUCCCAGAUUUCUGGCUUGUGCCAUUGGGUGGAUACCAUUUCCUGGAGUAUGGAAAAAGUGAUAUUGACAUGGAGACUAUGAGGUGGAGGGCGGGAUGUGUGGAGACCGAUGAGCUCUCUUUUGGAGCUGAUAUUGUGAAUCCCUAAAACAAAUACUAUGUAGCAUCUGUCCCGUUUAUUUGACCCAUAUGCAUUUCUGUUUUUCAGACAAUCUCUUGGGGCCAGGGUUCCAUGGAACACAUGUUGGUAAAGGCUAGUUUAGCUACUCUCAGGGGUCCUUCCCAGCUCAAAUAUUCUCUUUUCCCACAAUGCUAAUGAGAACCAGAAAGUGAACUGCAUUGGCUGAUGUUUUAAAUAAACUUUUUAAUUGAAUUGUGAAAAAGAUGUAGAAGAUGCUCACCUCCUAAGUGCAGAGCUUGAUGAAUUUUUACAUAGUGUGCAUACCCGUGUAACCACUGCCUAGAGCAAGACAGCAUACAUUAUUGCAGAUGCCUCCCAGAGUGCUUGAUUUUUAAGUAUGAAAAGCUUUGGAGGAGUGGGCCAUUUGGCUGAACCAUCACUUCCAUUCUGUCUUCCAGGACAAGUUUGAGGAUACAGUGGUACAGAGCAGCUCAGACUCUGAGUGCAGCAGGAGUCUGGUGCACUUGGCCUCUUUUUCUUGGAAAGGGCAUUAAAAACUAAUGGAUGAAGUGAAGGAUGUUCAUCCGGAGUUGGCCUCACCUGCCAAGUGGCCUUUGUGUGAAGAUCUCAGGAAGGAAGGGAAGGCCCCUCAUCCAUUUGUCAAAUAAGCCCCAGCAACCCUUGUUGCCUGAGGUUAACAAUGACACAGUUUAGGGUCGACAGAUAUUGAUAGGGUUAAUGAGUGAAUGACUACCAGAAUCUCUGCUUCCUGCCCAGGUUCUAGUCUGCAGAUGCCAAUGCCUCUGAGAAAGCAGCGUUCACUGGCAGCUCAGUAUCAAACUCCAAAUGAGAGAGUAAACGAACACAUGAAUGAAUUCAUUUCCUGGACCGAAACGUUCCUCCCCUACCUCUUUCUCUGAUGACUCUUCUAUCUGCCUGGCCCUAAUUUAAUUGUCUCCCCACUCCAAGAAGCUAUCCCUGAGCCCAGAUGGUGUCAGGUCCUCUCCUCAUAUACUCUCCCAGCACCUUAUACUUCCUAAUGCUUGCACCACUGCUGUUAACAACGGUUCGCUGCCCUAUGCGCACAGAAGCCAACAGCUAGGCAGGAAAGACAUUUUUUUUUGUUUUGUUUUUGUUUUAAUUAAUUAAUUUUUUUUUUUUUUAGACGGAGUUUCACUCUUGUCGCCCAGGCUGAAGUGCAGUAGAGCGAUCUCGGCUCACUGCAACCUUUGCCUCCCAGGUUCAAGAGAUUCUCCUGCCUCAGCCUCCUGAAUAGCUGAGAUUACAGGCAUGUGCCACCACACCCAGCUGAUUUUUGUAUUUUUAGUAGAGGAGGAGUUUCUCCAUGUUGGCCGGGCUGAUCUGGAACUCCUGACCUCAGGUGAUCCACUCGCCUCGGCCUUCCAAAGUGCUGGGAUUACAGGCAUGAGCCACUGCGCCCGGCUGGCUUUUUUUUUUUUUUUUUUUUUUUUUUUGAGAUGGGGGUCUCACUAUAUUGACCAAGCUGGUCUCCAACUUCUUGCCUCAAGCGAUCCUCCCAUCUUGGCCUCCCAGAGUGCUGGGAUUACAGGCGUGAGGCACGGUGCCUGGCUGAGACAGGAAAGGCUUUAUUGCAAAACCUGCCAGCAAGGAGAUGGGAAUUGGGCUUAAAUCUGUCUCCCUGACUUGGGGUCUGGGGCAAGUUUAUGGGCUCGGAGGGAGAGGGAAAGGAUUUGGGAAUGUUGGCUGGACAGGGUCCAAUUGGAAGGCUUCAAAUUUGGCCAUUUAUGGUAAGGUAUGUGGAGGCCAAUUUUAGUCCCGGAUCUUCCGGCCACUGGACCCCUCGCUUCUGGAAGAGUUCCGGAGUUCGGGUUCCGGUCAUGUCUCAGUCUUCUUGGUUCCGAAACGAGGAAUCGUAGGUUCCGGGUGUUGUUAGAGGGUCCAGCGUUUUCUAUUGCGCCUGCCUGGGCUCCAUGACGUGAGAGCUUUUUGGCUGUGUUGUACCUUCAAGGUAACUGACCAUUUUGUUAUCAACAGAGUAGGCCCAGUGUGGGCUGGUCUCAAGGUAACACAACCGUCAGCAAAUAGAAGGCCCCUAGAGGUUGUCCCAUGCCUGAGAGGAGGCCUAAUGAGGAAGCCGCCCAGAGCAGGGCCACUGACCUUGGACUUCCCGGGCUCAGGUCUUGGCUUCCUCUGUUGCUCACCAGCUUGUGCCUUUAGGCAGGUUACUUACUUUCUCUGUGCCUCGGUUCCUUUGUCAGCUGAAUGAGGGCGAGUACAGUACCUACCUGAGUCAUGCCAUGGAUAUUAAAGGAGAGGAUAUUUAUGAACAGUGCUCAGUGCAGUGUCUGGGGCAUGGGAGGUGCUCAAAAAACACUUGCUGUGUGAGUGAACGUUGAGUUACUGUUAGACUGAGGGGAGGUGGAAGGUCCUAUGGGGUCUGAAAAAGGAGAGAGGUGGAAAAAGCAGGGGUUUGGGGGUGGGAAGGAGGGUGACAAUGAAGGAGAGCAUGGGAUAAUGCCACAGAAGGCGACUGCGACUUUUUUUUUUUUUUUUUUGAGACGGAGUCUCGCUCUGUCGCGCUGGCUGGAGUGCAGUGGCGCCAUCUCGGCUCACUGCAAGCUCCACCUCCCGGGUUCACGCCAUUCUCCUGCCUCAGCCUCCCAAGUAGCUGGGACUACAGCCGCCCGCUACCACGCCCGGCUAAUUUUUUUGUCUUUUUAGUAGAGACGGGGUUUCACCGUGUUAGCCAGGAUGGUCUCCAUCUCCUGACCUCGUGAUCCACCCGCCUCGGCCUCCCAAAGUGCUGGGAUUACAGGCGUGAGCCACCGCGCCUAGCCAGGAGACUGCGACUUCUAAUACACUUUCAUUUUAGGAUAGGGCCUGACUUGCUUUUACCCAUAAAAAAAAUGCCUCUUAGCAUUUGCCCAAGUUAGAAUGAAUCUGGCCUUGGAGAUAAAGAAGCCAUUGUUUUCAUGUAGAUGUCACGAAGUCUGUCUCUUCUUAACGCUACUUCCUGCCUUGGGAAUUUGGGCAGGGGGAUCACCUAGGUUGGACUAGGCUUGGCUGCUGGUGCCUACCCUGUUGGAUAACCUGGCGAUAAGGAGAGAAGAAAGGGUGGGGCCCAUCCCAGAGUGUUUACCUGUGAUCCCUGCAGAUGUUCCCAGUGGGGGAAGUACUCAUGGACCAUCACACCUUCUUCUCCAAUUCCCUUUAUAUUUUUAUUUAUUUAUUUAUUUAUUUAUUUUUGAGACGGAGUCUCGCUCUGUCGCCCAGGCUGGAGCGCAGUGGCGCGGUCUCAGCUCACUGCACCCUCUGCCUCCCAGGUUCAAGCGAUUCUCCUGCCUCAGUUUCCCGAGUAGCUGGGAUUACAGGUGUGCGCCACCUUGCCUGGCUAGUUUUUUGAAUUUUUAGUAGAGAUGGGGUUUCACUGUGUUAGCCAGGCUCAGGUGAUCUGCCCGCCUUGGCCUCCCAAAGUGCUGGGAUUAUAGGCAUGAGCCACCAUGCCCGGCCCAAUUCCCUUUUUAAAUUUAGAUGUUUAUGGACUUGAUCUCAUUCUACCUGAAAAUAUUUUUAAGGGUGGGAGGUGGAAGCAGAAAGGGAUUUACAGAAAAGAUACAUUUGGUCAUUUAUUUUCUGGCCUACUUAAGAUGUGGUUUUGAAGACAGCAGAGGCCUAUGAUCUGUUGGCUCUCUAGAUGGCUUCCAGCCCUGUGACUCUAUGAUCUAAUAGAAUUUAUAGCAUUAAAUAUUCCAGUAGUGACUUGCAAAGAUUGCUUUGAAGGGAUUACAGAUGGUUCUGUAAGUAUAUACUUUUAGAAGAACAUAAUGCAAUUUGCUUUCUAGCCCAAAGCCCUAAAAAUAAUUAGGUAGGAGUUCAGACAAGUGUUAAAAGACAGUUGUUUCUGGUGAAUCCAAGUGGCUUUUAAAAAAAUCAAUUUCACUUCUCAUCAGAGGAGGGCUUGCAUUUUAGAUUGCUCAUGGUUUGUUGAAUAGCGACGCCCAACGAGCACACUGGCAUUAAAAAAAAGUAAGCAAUGAGAAAAAUUAGUGUGAUAUUCCAAGCUCAAAUUAAGUAUAAUAGAGUGAGGAAAAGAAUUUCAGAAUGCUGGAGUGAGUAAUGUAACUGAGACCUAAGCACUCGCCUUUAGGGAUUCUUACUUGGUCCAAUUGUGACUUUAACAUAUGUCUUCCAUCUGUCUCUGUCUGUUGCCCCUCAUGCCUUGGAAUAGUUCUGGCCCAUCUGGUUUCCUUUCAUGGGAUCCGAGGGAGACUUUCUCAGUGAAGUGCGGGUCAGAGUUCAGUUUUGGCUGCACAUAGAGAGGUGGAGAUCACUCAAGGAGGAAGAGAAGGAACUAAGGACAUGCCAGCAGUGAGGGUCCGGCUGCCAAGGGCUCUCGGGGGUGGGCCCCCGAAGAUAUUUGGCAGGCGAGAGGGAACCAUUCAGGAGCUUUCUUUUCCAUAACUUUUUAUAAUAAAAAGAGCAAAACGUUAACAUAGAAAAACUAGAAAAAACAGAAUAGUAUAAAGAGGGAGACAAACAUCCCUUGUAAUCUUAUCUCUCAUUGUGGGGUUUUCUGUUUUUCUUUUUGGUUAGGGAGAGAUGUGAAAGUGAUACUCUUAGAACAGUAACUUGUUAGAUGGUAGUAGGUGUUAUGGGGCAGGGGGAAAUUCAGUAAGGAGGCAGACUGGGAGUGUAGCAGGGCCCAGGGUGAAGUGGGUGAUCAGGGAAAAGCCCACAGACUGGGGAUUUUUAAAUAAAGAACUGAGGCUGACUGGCCACAGUGGCUCACGCGUGUAAUCCCAGCACUUUGGGAGGCUGAGGCGGGCAGAUCAGUUGAGGCCAGGAGUUCAAGACCAGCCUGGCCAACAUGGCAAAACCCUGUCUCUACUAAAAUUACAAAAGUUUGCUGGGUGUGGUGGCACACACCUGUAAUUCUAGCUACUUGGGAGGCUGAGGCACAAGAAUCGCUUGAACCCAGGAGGUGGAGGUUGCAGCGAGCCAAGAUUGCGCCACUGCACUCCAGCCUGGGCAACAGGAGUGAGACUCUGUCUCAAAAAGGAACUGAGGCUAGGUGCUGUGGCUCAUGCCUGUAAUUCCAGCACUUUGGGAGGCUGAGGCAGGGGGAUCCCUUGAGCCCAGGAGUUAGGGAUCAGCCUGGGCAACAUAGGGAGACCCUGUCUCUACAAAAAAUAACAAUAAUAAAAAAAAUUAGCCAGACAUGGUGAUACUUGCCUGUGGUCCUGACUACUUGAAAAGCUGAGGUGGGAGGAUUGCUUGAUCUGGGAACUCAAAGUUGCAGUGAGCCGAGAUUGCACUACUGCACCCCAGCCUGGGUGACAGAGUGAGACCCUGUCUCAAAAAAAAAAAAAAAAAAAAAGAAUAAAGCAAGACUAAUGGGGUUGAGGAAAUGAGCACUGGUUACCUGGAGGUGGGAGUGUGCCCUUCAAAGGAGGAGGGCGUAAUGGGGAGGAGGGAAGCCCUCAGCUGGCUGCUGUAAGCUGUCGUCUGACUCGGAGAGGGGUGAGGGUGGAAGUGAGCAGAGAAAUGGCACGUCCACAGAAACAGGGAGGUCCGUCCAUUUCCUGGCGCACAUUAGCACCACCUGAGUGGCUUAAAAAAACAGAAGUUUACUUUGGGAGGCCGAGGUGGGUGGAUCACCUGAGGUCGGGAGUUCGAGAUCAGCCUGACCAACAUGGAGAAACCCUGUCUCUAAUAAAAAUACAAAAUUAGCCAGGCAUGAUGGCGCGCGCCUGUAGUCCCAGCUACUCGAGAUGCUGAGGCAGGAGAAUCGCUUGAACUCAGGAGGUGGAGGUUGCAGUGAGCCGAGAUUGCACCAUUGCACUCCAGGCUGGGCAACAAGAGCAAAACUCCGUCUCAAAAAAACAAAAAACAAAACAAAACAGAAGUUUACUUUCUCACAGUUCUGGAGACUGGAAGUCUGAAAUCAAGAUGUCAGUAGGGCGGCUUCCUUCUGGGUUCUUGCAGGCAGGACCUGUCCUGAGCCUCUCUCUCAGCUUCUGGGAGUGGUCAGCAGCCCUUGGCUUGUGGACGCAUUGCUCCACUCUCUGCCCCCGUCCUCAUGUUGCCUCUCCUCUCUUAUUAGAAUCCUUGUCAUUGGAUUUUGGGAUCAUCCUAAACCAGGGUGAUCUCAUUUUGAGAUCCUGAAUUGUAUCUGUAAAGACCCUUUUUCCAAGUAAGGUCACACCCACAGGCUUUGAGCAGAUAUAUCUUUUUGGGAGCUCCCCAUUCAACCCAUUUUAGAAGGUCACCAGGAGGAACCAGUUUCUGGAGGAAGGUGAUAUGUGGUGAUUCUCUACAGUUUCACAGCGCACGUGCCGUCUCAUUCUCCUCAAAAUCUAUGAGUUAGUUUUGCUUCUCUCAGCAACAUCAUCCUGAAAAUGACCUGGCCAUAAAGAGCCAAGUUCAUAACCUUGAACCUUUCCAAGACAUUUCCUCAAAAAGCCACAGCUCUACUGGUGUGUUCCCAUCUUGUGAUCUGCCCUGAUAAAUGACUGAUCCUGGAGGACAGUGCGUGGCCCUGUCACUGUUCUAAGAUAGCCUUUAUUUGAGUGAAUGAAGGGAUAAAUGAAUGGCCAAUUAAAUCUGACCUCUGGCCAGUGUUGAAAUUCAGUGAUCUUCUGAUACAUAAUGUCAGUGGUUCUUAUGCUUUUUUGUGGAGUCAAGGGUGUCCUUGGGAAUAUGAUGGAAAAUAAUGGAUCACUCUUCCCAUACAAUUGUACUUAUUCUCACCCGGGCAUGGUGGCUCACAACUGUAAUCCCAGCACUUUGGGAGGCCGAGGCGGGUGGAUCACCUGAGGUCAGGAGUUUGAGACCAGCCUGGCCAACAUGGUGAAACCCUAUCUCUACUAAAAGUACAAAAAAAUUAGCCAGACGUGAUGGCGCACGCCUGUAAUCCCAGCUACUCAGGAGACUGGGGUAGGAGAAUCACUGGAACCUGGGAGGCGGAGGUUGCAAUGAGCUGAGAUCGUGCCACUGCACUCCAGCCUGGGCAACAGAGUGAGACUCCAUCUCAAAAAGAAAAAAAAAAGUACUUAUUAUAUACAAUUCCUAGGAAUUCCCUGAUAGAGAGUCAACCAGCCCAUGAGAAGGUGGCCACAGAGCAUCUGAAAGUCAUGGCCACAUUUUUCUUAUGAGAACUAGAUGGACCUGAAAUCUUUACCCAGUAAAACUUCCCACCCUAUUUCAUCUCAUGUGGCGUGGCAAAGAAGAUUGGACCUGGAAGUUUUCUAGGGCCCAGUGUGCCAGAGGGCUUAGAGGAGAAAAGAGACUAAACAGAGGGCCUGGUCAGGAGAUGGCAGAUAUAAUCCAGAGGAGAGGCCACGAGGGCUCUGCCACUGGCUCUGGGAAGGUCAAAGCCCACACUCCUUUCUGGAGCUCACUGGGUAAUAAGCUGCCUGCAGCGAGCAAAGGAAAGAGGACUUAAAAAUGACUCCAGGCGUGCAAGCCUCAGAGUCAGGCAAGACCCGCAUGGUAACCUAUAGGAAGAAGGGAACUAUUUUUAUAAGUUCAAUCUGUAGCUUGUUGAAUCUUUAUAAAGUCCAUAUUUAGUUUGCAGUCUUUAAAUUCUAAUCACAGAGCUUAUAGAAAUGAUAGAAAUGAGUAGCAUUUAUAAGCAUUUUGGACUUCCUUCUCAUAGCAAAAAUGGACUUUAAUUGCUGUCAGCUUCAGGUUACUGCUUACCUUUUUCUCUGACAGCCAUUUUUAUUUGUCUUAGGAUCUGCAUUAUAUUAUAUAUAAUUGCGAAAUGAAAGUGUCCUAAAGUUAAAUAAAAUAGCUUUUAAAUGGCACUUACAAACAGUUUCUAUUGAACCCCCAACCUAAAUCAUAAAAGCUUACAACUCUUAAGAGCACUGUGUGAAGAUAGUAUAUUGUGAAACAUUUCAGAUUGUACAGGAUGUGUUUAAGAGGAAAAGGAAGCCCUAUGGGCUUACAGAGGCUUAGGAAUAGAAAGAGAAUGAUAUUUAUGUUUUAAAAUUCUCUCUGUGUGCUUGUGUACAUGUCUAUAUACAGAAAUGCAUAGAAGAAGGGAGGAGGCCCCACAGUGGGAGAGGAGGGAACGUUCCCUUUUCUCCUGUAUGUUCCUGUGUUGUUUGAAUCUUUAAAAUGGAAUAUACUCAGGAAUUACUUGUGAAUCAAAAUUAAAGAAAGAUGGAGGCAAAUCAUCAAGGCCAACACAGCUGGCACAAACAGCCUGAUCCGGGAUGGACAGACUCCCACACCUUUUGGAAAACGAUAUAGGUCAGCUCAUCUUCUUAGGAACACCAUAGUUAGCCUUUGCUUUUUUUGUUAUCUUUUUUUUUUUUUUUUGAGAUGGAGUUUUGCUAUUGUUGUCCAGGCUGGAGUGCAAUGGCACGAUCUCGGCUCACCGCAACCUCCGCCUCCCAGGUUCAAGCGAUUCUCCUGCCUCAGCCUCCCUAGUAGCUGGGAUUACAGGCAUGUGCCACCACGCCCAGCUAAUUUUGUUAUUUUUGGUAGAGAUGGGGCUUCUCCAUGUUGGUCAGGCUGGUCUCGAACUCCUGACCUCAGGUGAUCCACCUGCCUCAGCCUCCCAAAGUGCUGGGAUUACAGGUGUGAGCCACCGCACCUGGCCGCUUUUUUUUUUUUUUUUAUCUUAAGUAAACUUUGUCUUUCUUCUUUUUUUUUUUUUUUUUUGAGAUGGAGUCUUGCUCUGUCGCCCAGGCUAGAGUGCAGUGGCACAAUCUCGGCUCACUGCAACCUCUGCCUCCCAGGUUCAAGCAAUUCUCCCUGCCUUAGCCUCCAGUAGCUGGGAUUACCAGCACCCACCACCAUGCCUGGCUAAUUUUUGUAUAUUUAAUAGAGACGGGGUUUCACCAUGUUGGCCAGGCUGGUCUUGAACUCCUGACCUCAGGUGAUCCACCUGCCUCGGCCUCCCAAAGUGCUGGGAUUACAGGCAUGAGACACUGUGCCUGGCCUGUCUUUAUUUCGGUUGGCAUUUUGAGGAGUAAAAUCAGUGCUUCCUUCAAAGCUUCUCUGCAAGGACAUAGCUGGGUGGUGCCAGGCUGUGCCGGGGUAGUGCUGGGUGAGCCGGCUGGGCUUUCCCACAGGCAGUGCAGUGUGUGGUGGGUUCUUCCAUUUGCUGCUGUCCUCAGAGUGUAAGAACACGUCCAGAGAGCGAGAUACUAAACACCCAAUGACACGGCGAAUGAGCACCCUGCUCUUCCUAAGCUUUUUUGAUAACAAAAUUGAAUAGACCCAAAUAUAACCUGGGUUUGAUGGAUUUUUCCUGCCCCAGUUGUCUCAUCAGCCCUCCCCACGGUCCCGUGAUGCCUGCCCUGCUGCUCAUUUGAUGCAGUUGGAAAAGUCUCAGAGAGGUGAUGGGGGGACACCUCUUGUGUCACCAGGCUUCUAUAGGUACAUUCGUCACCUGGCACUGCAUAACAAAGUACCACAAACUGGAUGGCUUCAAAUGACAGAAAUGUGUUGUCUUACAGUUUUGGAGGCCAGAAGUCCGAAAUCAAGGUGUCAGCAGAGCCAUGUUCCCGGCACUCCUUGAUGUUCCUUGGCCAGCAGCCGCAGCGUUUGGAUCUCUGCCACCCUUGCCACGUGGCCUGCUCCCUGUAUUGGCCUCACACAGCUCCUUUCCUCUUCCAAUAAGGACAUCUAUCACAUUAGAUUAGGGGCACAUUAUCCUGUGAUAUGAUCCCAUCUUAACUCUUUGCAUCUGCCAAGACCCUGUCUCUAAACAGGCCACAUUCAUAGGUCCUGGGCAUUAGGACUUCAACUUAUCUUUUCUGGGGGACACAAUUCAACCCAUAACAACAGGCCAUGGCUGGAAUUUGAGUUUUCAUCUUUCCCUCCCAACAAACCAAACUUAUGUGAUUCACUUUCUCUCCUUACUCCAUUUAAAAAAUAUCAUAGGUAGCCCUUGGUAAAUAACAGCAUUAGGUGUGCCAGAAACUUUCUGAGAAGGGAUGAUCUAGUGGGAGGACCUGGUACCCUGCUGGGGAGCAAUCCUGGAUAGUUACAGGAGAGAGAGAUGUUCCUGCGGAUUUACCACGGGGUGACAUCCUGGCAGGAAGUGGUAGUACCACCCUACUGGCUGCUGUUAAAACAACUUGCUAUUCUUCAUCUGCAGAUUUUGCCAGCCCAUGACAUUACAGUAGCCAUGGCUGAUGUCAUUCAAAAUUCCGCAGGCUUGAAACCUCGUAAAUGUAGUGACUCUGUGUGUGUGUGUGUGUAUGUUUGUGUGUGUGUACGUGUGUGAGUGUGUGUGCUGUGUGUGGGCAGAGUGUAUGCAUGUGAGGCUGAGAUUUAGGUGUGCUGAUGACAUGAGUUGACUGUCUUUUUCAGGACUGAAAUCAAACUAAAGUUUCUACAGAUGUCCCUUGAUAAGGGACACCUUGUAACCUAAAGCCUGGACAUUUGAAGAUUUAGCUAAUUCUAGCUAGGGGUUUUAUGGAAGUGGUUUAAGUGAGUUUCUUCUUUUAGGGAGUAGUAGAACUAGGACUUGUUGUUUCACAGGCCUCUAAUAUGCCCACUGGACACAGGCUUUUUGGCUGUAAACUCUGAGUGCAGAAAGAAAGACAGAAAAAGCUAGAUAAAUGCCGAGCUAUCACUGUCAUCAGGAGCUUGGAGGGAGGUGGAAAAGGCUUACAGAGAGGAGGGAGGGAGAAGAGACAGGAGAGGGACAGAUUGAGGGAGAGGCCUACGCCAACCUGAACUGGGAAGCACAUAGACCAGGGUUCCCCAGGGAUCUGACAUCAAAAGUAGAGUUUCAGUGAAUUAAAAAGAUUAUCGUUUUAACAAAGGCCCAGGAUACGAUUAGAGAUAGCAUAAAAACUGUUUCAGGAAAAGUUCAGAACUAAUAGAAAAGAUUCAGUUAUGUGCUGUAAAGCUAAUGUAAAUUAUUUGCUCAAAAAGUGUAUCAUCUUAAACGGCACUUCCGGCAGCCUAAAACAUAUCUGCACACAUAAAGAUGUGUUUUCCAUCAGACUGUACGUAGUGGUGGCAUCUCUAAUCACCUGGCAAGGAAAAUGAGUGAAAACCACGGAUUCCUUGGAGCUGCCUCCCGGUGACAGCCAUGAUGCUGUUUGUCGGGUCAGAUUCACCAGCUGACUUAGGAGAAAAGUGUGUUUUUGUUUAUUUAUUUUUAACUUUUAAUUUUUUCAAAGUGCAUUCAGACUUUAAUUGCUUUUUAAUUGCGAGAGGAAAGAAAUGUAUUUUUAGAGGUGAGACUGCUGCACUCAUAGUAAGGCUUGGAUAUUAGACUCUCUAGUCUCAGGAAACUAAUCAACUAUUUUCUGUCUCUUUACCUGAUAAACUGAUAAGACAAAAGUAAGUUCUAGAAGUGGAAUUAAAGGAAAACUCAUUAAGAAAUUGCUUGAGAGUUACAGCUAGACAUGCACAGAGGUCUAAAGCUGAAGUAGAAUUUAACGGAAUCCCGAAGCUCCAGGAACGACACUAUCUACAGUGGGACUAGGGUGUGAAACAGCCACAAAUGACACUGUCAGGGUUUCAGGAUCAAUUUAGACAGGUUUCAUUUUUCAGUGACGGUCAUGACGGCAUUUUCAGAGUCAGCUUUAGUAAGUAGAUAAGUCCUUUACAGAUGAAGAGAUACUUUUAAAAUAUGGCCAAUAUUAUUAUCAUUAAUAUACUAAUUCAAUAAUGAAAAUUUUUUGAGUAGUUGCUAAAUGCUGUACACUGCUAAGCAUGCAUUUUCAGUACGUGUGAUUUCUAGAAUGCUUGCUUUUUAAAUAAUAAUUUUCUUUCAUUCAAAGAUAAAGAUUUCUUUCAAAAAGCCUAUCUGAUUUUAUAAUAGAAGGAUUUAUUUAGCAGAAAUUCAUAUUAAGGAAACUAAAAUAUUCUAAUCCGUCAGGUGAGAUAUGUCUAUACUGAGAAGAAGAUAUUAAUAUGCACCAAAGCAGCAAGAAUGCUUGCUUGAAAUCCAAUAAUUUUUUGAUACCCAGUACAUGAGCUUAAGUCACCAAAUAUUUAAAAAAAUUUUUUUAAGUGUAAUUAUUUCUUAAGGAAACUCCUAAGAAAUCUUUGCAAGGCAGAGACUCUAUUUUAAUCUUCUUUGUAUCACCCGUGGCACCCAGCUCAGAGCUUAGAAUGUAAAACAUGCUCAAAAAAUAUUCUUUGAAGGAAUGUUUGAUUUGGGAAUCCAAACCUGACAGUGGCAUUUAUUUACCUGUAGUCAUCAAUGCUUGCUAUUUUAAAGCGGCAUUUUUUUUCCUGCCUUCAGUGAUAAUUAAUGCUCAGCUCAGACUGCAGGGUUUGAAUGAAGAAAUCUGAACAAUAGCUAGACAAGACAAAGCCUGUGAAAUCUUAUGCAGGCUUCUCUAUUAAUGUGGUUUAGAAUGAUAUGUUAGGAGCACUGUAUACCAGAAGAAUAUUGAUUGCAUUUCAGAUAAUGCAAUUUACAGUUAAUAAGAUGGUUAGGCUGGUCCAGGGAAAUAUUUGUUUUCUUCAACAAUGUUAGGCAGAAAACAUACAUUUUAAUAAAUACUACAUGAGAACAAUCCUUUUGGGUGAAUUUCAAGGAAACAAACAGACUACCAUAUGGCUACACAUUGGUGGAUUUUCACAUUUCUAAAAUCUGGAUAAAUGUAUUAUCAGUAAUACUUUGCUUUACAAAUAGAUUUGUUUGAAUUAUUCUUGCUUUAGUACCAGAAACCUUUGCUGACAUUUUGUAUGUAACGUUUAAUAUCUAAGGAUGAUAGUUCUAGGACAGAAUAUAUAAUGUGAUCACAUUUGUUUUUAAAAAAAUACACACACACACACACACACACACACACACACACACACACACGCAAACUCUGGAAGACUAGACCCCAGGUUUCAUAGGGGUUAUGGUGAAGAACAGGGCAGAGUGAGAUUAUAGGGUAUUUUUACUUUUAGAGUUAAAUAUUUCUGUGACAUUUGAAUUUUUAUAAUAAGUAUGUAUUGUUUUUGAAAUCAGAAAAAGAUAUAUUAAUUUAUGGGGCUGACACUGAUGAUGUUGACAGUCAAAAUAGUAUUGCAAAGAGCCUGAAAAUAAUCUAGCUGCAGAAUCAUCUACCAAAACUGAUUCCUGCCUGCAUGUACAAGGUGGAUGCUGCAGCAUUGCUCAGAGUGGCCACAGAUCUGCCACUCCUUGAAAGUCCAUCAUCAGAGGGAGAGAAAGAGGAAGUAUGAAGGCGUAUCUGUCUGCAUAGACUAGGAAAAUCUGGCAGAGGAUGAGAACCUAGUAACUCUAAAGUCACUGGGGGCUGUGAUUUUUCAAUUUGGUACCAUGUGCUUGGUCCACAUGUUAAAAAAAUUGGGCGGCCAGGGGUGGUGGCUCACGCCUGUAAUCCUAGCGCUUUGGGAGGCCAAGGCGGGCAGAUCAUGAGGUCAGGAGUUCGGGACCAGCCUGGCCAACAUGGUGAAACCGCAUCUCUACUAAAAAUACAAAAAGUUAGCUGGGCAUGGCGGCAGUCGCCUGUAAUCCCAGCUACUCGGCAGGCUGAGGCAGGAGAAUCACUUGAACCUGGGAGAUGGAGGUUGCAAUGAGCCGAGACUAUGUCAUUGCACUCCAGCCUGGGCAACAGAGCCAGACUGUCUCAAAAAAAAAAAAAAAAAAAGACAAGUGUGGUGGCUCACGCCUGUAAUCCCAGCACUUUGGGAGGCCAAGGCGGUCGGAUCACAAGGUCAAGAUUUCGAGACCAGCCUCGCCAUCAUGGUGAAACC